ACUAACUUUCAAAAAGCAUCUCACCUCACUUCUCUCAGGGGUUUUAAAAAGAAUCAGAUCAACGUCACCAACAAGUAGAGGCCGGAUUAAUAAUCAGGAAACAAAAAUGAUUAAAUAUCUGGCCGAGAUAACGUUGCUGGCCAUGGAGUAAGACUGGCGCAGACAUCUCUACUCUCAGAGUGUUACUCUGGACUGAGCCAACUCUACAGCCAUCUACCCUGAAAUGCUCAAAUGACUGAUGGCUCAUCUCUAUCAACACCAUUGAAGCUCUCUGCUGAAUGUGCACAUCACAAGUUCAUGCACAUCUCUGGGCAAGAAACAAGGACCGUAGUCAAGACAAGCCACUGAAAACAGUUUGCAAAUGGGGCCAUUUCCACAGUUGCAUCCGAGAUACAGAAAAACCAUAGAGAAUGUGGAUGUGAAGGAUGACCUCAUGCCACGGAUGCACAGAUAAAAUUCAGCCUGGGAAGGGAAAGAGAAAAAGAGGCUUGGAUACACCAUGCACAAAACCAUCUCCCAUGGCUUCUCCUUGAAAAGUGCUCUCAGCAGGUGAGGUGAGCCCUUGAGCAAUGACAGCCCUGACUUGCAUACAAGCCAACCUUCCAUUGGAUCUGGGGGACUCUGCAGCUGAUGGCCUGUGUGCUGUAUGGCUUGGAGAGACUACGCAGCCAUGUAGAGCCUCUGCCUUUAGCUGGUAAAGUAUUGUGCCCUUUUGUUAAGACUUGGUAAGAGGUCUUUGACUGUUUUUUUUUUCCAUACCAGUAACUGUUUAGAUAAGAUAAAUACAUUACUUCACUACUCCACUGCCCAGCUAUGAAAUCCCUAGCUACUCGUGGCUCCUCCAGACCACAUGGGUCAGCUCCAUCUUCAUCUCCUCCCUCCAUCUUGUCUCCCUCCAUUUUGUCUGACCCUGUCCUUCUCCCCUUCCCUUCCUGUUCCGCCCAGAAGAUCCUACCUCCAUAUCUUCGCCCAGUGAUUGGUUUCCUGUUGUCUUUAUCAGCCAAUCAAAUAACUAGGGGAAAUUCCCCUAUGCUCUAGACCCCUUCUCCUUCUAACACUCUAAACUGUGGGCCAGGCCCGAUAUAAGGUGGUAGGUACCUUCAAUUGGAGAACUCAAAGCAGAGAAUGACAAAAAUUGUUCCCUGUGUUAGACUCCAAGUGGAGUUAGCAGAAGAGCAGAUGAAUCCUAACUUGCCGUGAGGGGCAGUCAGGCUGUGCAAGGCUGAGAAAGUAUUCCUGCACAAGAGAUUUGGGAGCAUCCGAAGCAGCUGCUAGGUGGAGCUUUCACUUGUAUCCCUUUCUGUACGUGUGCGCUCAUUUCCCCACAGUUCCUUGUUUCUCCCCCAGUGUCCCUGUCCCACAGAGGAUACUGACAUCACCAGUUACCGAGGGCUUGGAGCCAGGGAGACGUUCAGUCUCCUUUCUUUCUUUCUUUCUUUCUU